rnacentral:misc_RNA from 1 species
GCAAGGCUGUCAUCAGCAAGAACCAGAAGGCCGAAUGGUCCUAACGCAUUGCGGUGAGCAGCUCCGUAACUGGUCUUGCAGCUGAACUCCUCGUUGGAUUCAGCCGCGUUCUCCAAUACCUUCUUGUCUAACUCAAACUCCGCGAUAAUAUCUAGCUGUGUGGCUGCAUCAAGAUUAAGGGGCACAACUGACCCUGGCUUGACUUCCACCUUGUCAAAUUCAUUGCUUCUUAGUCUCAAACUCUCUACCUCUUCCACUGGCCAUUGAAGCAGAUUGCUGCCAGUCUUUGUGUCCAACGAGACUGUCCUUGGAAUGCCCUGAAGAGAUGCCCAUCCUUUCUUAACAUCAGCAACUUCACUAUCAGACUCGCCAAUCCAACCCCAUAAUACCCUUCUCCCUUUAUUCUGAUCAUAAAAUGUCUUGGAUGCGUAGAAUAUACCAUAAUCAUACCUAAGACCAAUGCCAACAUCAAUAUCUGGAUUAUCUGGAGUCCAUGUAGUGUUUAAUUCAUCGUAAGUUCCGAGUGCAAAGUAAUCAUGCUUAUCAUCAUCAAGGCUUGCCUUAACCACGUGUUUCACUUCAGGGCCAUCAUCAGACGUAUCCAAUCCAUGUUCACCCUUCCUCGAAACAGGGUAAAAGUCCACACACUCCCACAUGCCAGUGCCAGGGACACCAUGAAGUGCCUGAGGUUGCAACUUAUAAUUUAUGAAGUCCUCAGUGUCAUAGAUUAAAGCUAUGCCACUUUUGCCAACUUUAGACCCUAUGCUGAUGCGCCAUUUUCCCUCGGAAGUGUACCAAGCUGUGGUUGGAUCACGGAAAUCCUUGGUGCCAAUGCCUGGUGGUGGGACUAGAACCGGAUUGCCGGAGUAUUUGGUCCAUUCAAGGAGAAGAGGAUCAUUGGGGUCUGCUGGAUAUGCAAGAUUCUGCACCUGAACUGACUCGUUGGUGGAUCCAGUGUACAGCAUGACAACAUUUCCAUCUGGGAGGAUGGUAGCGGAGCCAGUCCAUACACCAUUUUGGUCAUACCACUGAUUGGCAAGCAUUGCUAAUGGAAGGUGAAGCCAGUGGAUUAAGUCCCUUGAUACAGCAUGGCCC